rnacentral:rRNA from 1 species
UACGGGGGGGGCAAGCGUUGUUCGGAAUUACUGGGCGUAAAGGGCUCGUAGGCGGCCAACUAAGUCGGAUGUGAAAUCCCCAGGCUUAACCUGGGAACUGCAUCCGAUACUGGAUGGCUUGAAUCCGGGAGAGGGAUGCAGAAUUCCAGGUGUAGCGGUGAAAUGCGUAGAUAUCUGGAGGAAUACCGGUGGCGAAGGCGGCAUCCUGGACCGGCAUUGACGCUGAGGAGCGAAAGCAUGGGGAGCGAACAGG